GGCUUGUUGGUGGAUGGUCCACACCUGCUUCUUGUGAUACAUAUCUGUACAAUAGCCAGCCGGAAAUGCCUGUUCGAACCAGGCCUGAGCCA